rnacentral:rRNA from 1 species
AGUAGGGAAUAUUGGACAAUGGGGGCAACCCUGAUCCAGCCAUGCCGCGUGAGUGAAGAAGGCCCUCGGGUUGUAAAGCUCUUUUGUCCGGAAAGAAAAGCAAUCGGUUAAUACCCGGUUGUUCUGACGGUACCGGAAGAAUAAGCACCGGCUAACUUCGUGCCAGCAGCCGCGGUAAUACGAAGGGUGCAAGCGUUACUCGGAAUUACUGGGCGUAAAGCGUGCGUAGGUGGUUCGUUAAGUCUGAUGUGAAAGCCCUGGGCUCAACCUGGGAAUGGCAUUGGAUACUGGCGGGCUAGAGUGCGGUAGAGGGUAGUGGAAUUCCCGGUGUAGCAGUGAAAUGCGUAGAGAUCGGGAGGAACAUCUGUGGCGAAGGCGACUGCCUGGACCAGCACUGACACUGAGGCACGAAAGCGUGGGGAGCAAACAGGAUUAGAUACCCUGGUAGUCCACGCCCUAAACGAUGCGAACUGGAUGUUGGGUUCAACUUGGAACUCAGUAUCGAAGCUAACGCGUUAAGUUCGCCGCCUGGGGAGUA